rnacentral:lncRNA from 1 species
GAUUAGUCGGUCGUGAUGACCUCUUUGAAAGGCAGACUUUUGAAGAAGUCUCUGAUACUCCUUGGAGAAGUCCUACCCCCAUGAUUUUAUGAAGAUGUUGGCCAGAGCAGGAAAAUAUGCCCGGACCGAGGAAGCUUUUGAAGAUGUAUCUAUGUCAGGAACAACUUUCGAAGAAGGAAAAAAGGAAGAGUCUGAGAAGCUCUGACCAUAGGAGACCCAAAAAAAAGAUCUUCGAUAAAAUCAAUCUCCCCCAAGGCAC